UCAGGCUUCUGUUCAUCCUUUAGAUACCUGCAUGUCGUGCUUUACUGGUGUCAGAAUCAACCUCUGGUUAUGUGUUGGACCGGGCAGAUUUCUCUCUCUGGUGUAUCACUGCUGGAGUCUGAGUCAGUGGGAUGUUUUAGGUUGAGUGAGUCAGUGGGAUGUUUUAGGUUGAGUGAGUCAGUGGGAUGUUUUAGGUUGAGUGAGUCGGUGGGAUGUUUUAGGUUGAGUGAGUCAGUGGGAUGUUUUAGGUUGAGUGAGUCGGUGGGAUGUUUUAGGUUGAGUGAGUCAGUGGGAUGUUUUAGGUUGAGUGAGUCAGUGGGAUGUUUUAGGUUGAGUGUUUUAGGUUGAGUGAGUCGGUGGGAUGUUUUAGGUUGAGUGAGUCAGUGGGAUGUUUUAGGUUGAGUGAGUCAGUGGGAUGUUUUAGGUUGAGUGAGUCAGUGGGAUGUUUUAGGUUGAGUGAGUCGGUGGGAUGUUUUAGGUUGAGUGAGUCGGUGGGAUGUUUUAGGUUGAGUGAGUCGGUGGGAUGUUU